GGUAAAUAUGUGUUUUAAAACAUCACUACCAGUGGACUAUGAGCUACCAACCAGUAAGAAAAAGGUACUCAGAGUCCACAGUGGUGUUAGACGCUGUUCUCUCC